rnacentral:rRNA from 1 species
AGUACUUUGAAGAGAGAGUUCAAAAGGACGUGAAACCGCUUGUAGCGAAACGGAUAGAACCACGAAGUGUAGCUGAGAGGAGAAUUCAACUCUUGUUGUGCACUGUGGCUUGUUUCAUAUGCUUGUCUCGAAUGCUUUACAGCGUUCCAAGAUCAGUAAGUGUAGGGUUAAACCUAUGCUUGCCCUUGGAUCGUGGCAUCAUUUGUAACUAUGACCACAUUGCAUGAGGAGUGCAUUUUCUCGUACUCUCGUGCUCAAACCGCGACUGAUGUGAGGAGUUGUGAAUUUAUUCGCUUCUCUGGUGAUAUCAGCAGGGUGUACUAACCAUACACCCAAUCAACUGAUUGGUUUUCACAGCCACUCAUUCUUCUUGCAAGUUUGAGACUUGGCCUGUGAGCCAUCGUUGGUAACUGAGUAUCACAAUCACAUUAGAAAAGAAUCUCUGCUUUGCAGGGUCAGAUGGCUCGAAUCAUACUGAUGGUUACCAGUUGAUCUUUCGUCGAUGAGACCUGUUUCUUUACCUAGUAGAGAAACAACUUAUGGAUUGAUUGACUUUUGGUGUACUGUUGAUGGUUUUUUGAGUCUAUCACUGAUUAAAGAUUCGGCGGUCAGUAGAUCGGUAAUCUAUCCGACCCGUCUUG